rnacentral:lncRNA from 1 species
GGGGUUUUUGGGAAAAAACUCAUGACACAAUUAACAUAUGUUCUAUCAGUUUCAAAGUUAGUGUUGUUCCUAUGAUCAUGGGAUGGAAAUAAAUGUCAGAGGAGAUGGAAAAGGUUAUCACAGCCUAAGGAAGUAUGUGGUGACAUUCAUGUUGGAAGGUGUCUUCUGAGGGACAGAGCUAACCAUAUGAUAAUGUACUAUGGGGACAGGAUAGUACACAGGUUGGAUUAAGGAUUGUUGUAUACAUUAAUGUUUAUUGAAAGAAAGAUUUGCGAAGCCAGUGGUGAGAGGUUUCUGAAGGUAGGAGGCCAUAGUCUUCCUUGUCCUCUUCUUCUCACCCUUACCCUUUUUUUUUUCUUGAGCCUAAAGCCCUGUUUCACUACCCCAAUCCCCCCCCAACCCCUCUUUGUAAACAACAAAAACCCUGACAUGGGCAUGCACGCAUCUUACAUGGCCUGUUGCAAGUGCAAGUCCCAUAAGCACAUGGGCCUACUAUCCUCAGGCAGUAGGCCCGGCCUGCAUUAGCUUCACAAGUCUCCGUGUCGCCAUCACUACUGGAAACAACAUAUCCAAAGAUAGCAAUCUUUAAGUUUGCCUCCAUUUAAAUAGCUCAAUCUCCCAUUCUCAUUUCAAUAGCUAUUUCCAUCUUCAGAUCGAGUUCUUUUCAUGGAGAACCUUUUUAGUGAUAAUGCCUUUGGUAACCAAAAGGAAACACCCACCAUGUCUCACAUGGCUUCUUAAGUUAGGUGUUGUUGUUCAUCUCCAUUAUACAUGCCUUUUAAUUUUCUCCACACAACCAAGAGGAUUUAAUUUUUGCUUUUCUUAAGGGCACAAAUAAAGUGGCAUCCAAACUUUAAGACAAUUCCAGCAUACGGAACUGUCUUUCCACUCACGUAUUUAGUGUGUGACUCUAUGCAACCCCUACUUAUAUCCCACAGGUUGUAAUGCUAUUACAUGUAUUA